UGUAAAGUAACUUUUAAACUUUAGUGAAUAAAAACUGUGUAGACAUAGUAAUAGUUUUAUAUAUAUAUAUAUAUAUAUAUAUAUAUAUAUAAAAAAAUACCCGUAGUAAAUACUUGUGGACAUGGCCUAAAUAUCAGUAUCCAAUCCCACUUUGUUUCACUAGAUGUCAGAAUUUUUAAUUUACAUUUCCAGUAAAUACUACUUAUGUAACGCCUUCGUGCUGUUGCUAAUAAUAGUCCAUGUACUCUAAGUGCAGGCUAGUCUUUUGCUGUUGAAACCGAUUAAUGGCUGUGGUAUGAUUUUUAAACUGAUCCCUCCCCUUAUCAUUGAUAAACAGGGUUCAGAGUUUUAAAACUCAGAAAGCAGUUCACUGUCUGUUCAUUUCUACCGGCUACCAAUAAUUUGGCUCACCAAGAUGCAUUGGCGAAUUCUGGCUAUUUUUUCUUUCAUUGGUUUCUUCUCAUCUGGAGACAUGCUCCUGGCACCUUGUGACAGUCAGAUCUACUGCACCGGAGAAGUCCUGUAUGGAGCGAAUUUUGUGCCAAUAUUCAUCAAACAAAUCCAGCAUAUUGUAAAUAAACAAAAUCUGCUUUGCAAGUAAAAACUCGACUUUCAAACAAACGCAAAGUGAUUUGCAAAUGCAAAACUCUAUUUGAGAGAAAAUGUAGAGGUAUGGACAAAUAUAUGUAGUGUGCGUUACAACUGUGAGACACAUUUGUGAAGAAACUUGGCUUGAUUUUCUCACAAAUGCAGGCAGAUAUUCCCACAUGUAUUAAAGCAGAUUUUCUCACAAAUGCAAUUGAGCAACUAUCUUUUCCAAAAACAGCAGAUGGCGCUGUCCGUCAAUUUAUGCUAGUCCCCUGAGACCUGAAACACCUGUUUACCUUUUCAGGGAAUACAGCAGACCAACAUGAGUUGGGAACAGGUGAGUUUCUGUCUUACUAUAUAAUUAACCAUUUAGAUGUUUUCACAAAGCGACCCUACUAGUGUCAUGUAGUGACAUGGCUAAACAUUUAACUAGGCGGUCUUUCCCUAUAAAAACUGAUCCAUUCUCCAUACCUCUUAUCCUCUGUAGGAUCACGGGAUAUAGAAUAUAUACAUGUUGAUAAAAUUGUUCAAUGUAUAACAAAAAUAUUGUGUACCAAAAAAUAAUGCUUAGACAAUUUAAUUUAGUAUCAGAUAUAUCACCCAAGAGGUCAUUAAUUAUUAAUAACAUUUUUAAAGCAAAUCACAUUAUUUAGUACAAUAUCUAAAACUUUUUAAAUGUUUUAACACUGUGCAAUCAUUUGUGUCUAAAAUAAUUAUGUAUUUUUUAGAUAAGCAACAUGAUGAAUAUUUAUCUUCUGGUGUCACUCUUGUCCUGUGAAUUUGGGAGAAAGAUCAAGUUCACGCUGAUAUAAUACUAAAUUCAGCAUUUUAAUAAAUAGUGGUUUACCAGUAUUUCAGAAGGAUAAUGUAAUGAUUAGAAACUAAUCUUUGGGGUCGAAGACCGUGCCAGUGCGUUUUGUCCUGUUUUGUUGAUGACCACAAAAAUAAUUUAAAUUACAGAUACGAGAAUGGCAUCGUUUGAAACUGCAAAGGGUCUGCGUUUAUUUGUGUAUUGUCAACAAAACAAUGUACUUUUGUAAAAUAAAGAAAACAAACAGGGCGCGCUCUCUGCCGUCUCAGUCUCUGGGAACUUUCUUGAAUCAAACAACCUGAAAAACAACCUGAAUCUCAGUGAAUAUGUGCCUCACAUACAUGGUACAUCUAUGUGUAGAAAGCCUAAAAUGUCUAAUUUUAAAACCAAUUCAAAUUGAAAACAAAUAUUCUCUGAUUAUAUAAUCCGUAUAAAAGUAAGGAGAGGUAAAGAUUCUCCUGUUUCACCUCAUUAUCGCUAGCGCUCUGUUCACAUGUUAAUGAUCUGAGGUCAGCCAGGUAAGCAUGUAGAUGCCCCCGAAAAAUGCCAUCAAAACGUCAAGCUUCAUCAUAGAAUUUAGCCUACUUUCUUUUUCUGCCCAUUGGAUGUUGGUGCGCUACACGGGUGAAGACACACUCUGGACAGCGAGGAUAUCUUCUCAUAUUGGUCUGAAAAGGUAAACAGAUGUUUCGGAUCUCAGGAGACUAGCGUAAAUUGACCAACAGCGCCAUCUGCUGUUUUUGGAAAAUAAACUUGCUCAAUUGCAUUUGUCAGAAAAUCCAACUUGACGCAUGUGAGAAAAUCUGCCUGCAUGCAUUUGUGAGUAACACACUAUAAAUAUAUUUGUCCAUACCUCUGCAUUUUCUCUCAAAUAGAAUUUUGUAUUUGCAAAUCACUUUGCAUUUGUUUGAAAGUCGAGUUUUUCUUUGCAAAGCAAAUUGUG
rnacentral:lncRNA from 1 species